rnacentral:lncRNA from 1 species
GACGUUCGGCUUCCACGUCUUCAGGCUCGACCCGUCCAGCAGCGCGUGGGAGAUGAUAGAGAGCUUAGGAGACGGCGCUCUGUUUCUAGGGAUGAACACCUCCGUCUCCGUCUCGGCUGCCGACCUUCGAUGGUGCAAGGGGGACUGCAUUUACUUUACCGACGGCGACGAGUUGAGCCGCUGGUACGCCAUCUCACUGGGAGGCCGGCUCCUGGGAGGCCGCGGAGCCGGCCGCGACACAGGCUACUGCACCUUGAAAGACUGGGAGGUUCAUUAUCUCGACCAAGUUGCGUCCUACUCUCCCUCUUCCCCUCCUAUUUGGGUUUUGCCAUCUGCUGGUGAAGGUUAAUUUGAAGCCUCAACAAUGAUUCUAAAUUAUUAAUGCUCUUUACAUAGGACCACCAUUUUGCGACUAGCUAGCUAGGGUAGGGAGUGUUUUUAAAAGUUAAAUUAGGUAUUUCAAUUUCAGUUCAUAGUUCAUACUUCAUACCGCUGAGGUCUAAUCUGUGGGAUUAAUAAAUUCUCUAUUAUAAAUCGGGGCUUGUCUUAAUUUAUGUUAGUAAAUUCACGAAUUAUUCACCAAUUUUUAAAAGACGAAUUAAACGGUCGAAUUCGUAUUUUUUCAAAAAAUUUGAAAAAAAAAACGCGUUUGUUUGGUAAAAAUACUUAUUCGCGAAUAAUUCGCGAUGCCGUCGAAUUUCGUCAAAAAUUCGGCUCGCCGCUUGCGCCCGCGUUCGCGCUCGCACCCCGCCCGUGCUCGCAGGCCUUGCGGCUCGCCCAAAACGGAAAAAAAAAAAGAAAAAAAAAAACCCUUUCCAACCAAAAUAGAAAAAAGAAAAAACAUUUCGGACCAAAAAAAAAAAAAAUCACUCGAUCAAAAAAAUUAUUUGCUUAUUUAUUUAUUUAUUUUAAGGCAUAAUAUAGUUUUUUUUUUUUUUACUUAAUUAGCUUAAUUUUGUAGCUCUUUAUUCUUAUAUUAUUAAAAAAUAUAAAUAGUUAUACUAAUAGCAUAAAUUUUGAACGAAAACAAAUUUAAUUUAAUAGUCGAAUUUUGAUCCCGAAUUUUUAAUUGGUGAACAUAUAAUAUCCGUAUAAAUCACGUAUCUGAAUAAUUGACGAAUCUGUUUUUUAGCCAUAUUUUUCAACGAAUUUAAUAAUUAUAAGACGAAUUUUAGCCGAAUUAUAGCAGUAUCGAAUUUUUACAGAAACGCUGAUAUGGGCCAAGGCUUUUCACUUGAAUCUAUAUUUUAUUUCUUCCUGCCCCCAAUCGACUCUGAUUGUUUUUUUUUUUGAUUUAAAUCUAACUCUAAUCGAUUCCCCGUUUUUAAGAAAAAAAAAGAAAAAAAGAGUUACUGGCCUGUGUCGCUGUAAAGCAGCAAAAUUAUACUUUUUGUUCUUAUUUAUAAGCUUUGCCGGCACACUCGGGACGCACGGACCAAACAAAAUGCGUAAGAAAAAAAUCGUUCAUUUAUUUAAUAUUUUAUUCUUGUAUAUUUAUCUACAAGAAUAAAGUAGCUGACUUUUGGCUCUAGAAAAAAUAUUACAAUACGAGAAUUUUAUUUUUACAGAAUUCAAAAUAGAAUAGUUGAGGGCAAAACACUACUAGGAUAGUGAACUGACUCUGAUAUCAAAUACAACGACCUGGCUAGUCGGCAAUAAUAACUCGUUGGGCCCAAACCACCUGCCCAAUAUACUUAAGCCGAAUUAUUAUGUAUAGCCUAAUCAAACUUAAAUAGCCUUACAUUUAGUCAUAAUUAUCCGAUAUGAGAUUAUUAGAGUGUCAUACAUUUUUAUUAGGUUGCCUACAAUUGGAAGGUAUAUUAGCAAAUCUUUUUAUAUUUUGUUUAUAUAAAAAAAUAGUGCAAUUAUUAUUAAAAGCGAGAAAUUCUUAUAUUUCACUUUAAAGGAAGGGUGAGUAGUCAAGUGAUGCAGCCAAUUUAGCGUUAAAGCUUUCGAAAAACCUCAGCUCAACUAGACUGAGCUAAAAUCCGUUGAAUUCGUAAUUUUGCAAUCGACAUAAAAAAUAUGUUUAAAUGACCAUAACUUUUCACUCAGCUGUCCGAUUUCAACAUACAACCUCAAUUCGAAAAUUGCUUUUAGAGAUCUAUGUAUCACGUGGCAAAACAAAACUAUUAUGGCUGUAUUUGGAACCCAACAAUUUAUUCUCAAAUAUAAAUCUUAACUUUUUACCACUGAAUUUCAUCCAACGAUUGAAAAUAAAAAUAUCUGUUAGACCUGAUCUACACUAUUAGAAGUAUUUGGAAACUGAAUUUCAUAAUUUUUCGACAUCAUUUGGCUAGUGAUCAAAAGAUCUCAAAAUUGACAAUUUUAAUGGUAGAUUUAAUGUGUUUGUAAAUUUAAGGGUGUAAAGCAAUCCAAAUCUGAUGAAAUUUUUAUAGAAAAUUAUUUUUACUAUUUAGAGUAAGAUCAGUACCUCUGAUCUUAAAUUCAAGUCUUUUAUCAUCAUUUUUUAUGAAAUUUUUAUUUUCAGCCGUUUAUUUUUAAACUACUUAUUUGAUAGGUAAAUGAUGCCGAAAAAUUAUGAAAUUUAAUUUCCAAAUACUUUCAAUAGUGUAGAUCAAAUAUAACGGAGCCGAUCAUUGAUUUGGAAGCCGCAUCAUUGAAAACAACUCGGUAGCACGGAGGCCUCUGUGCUACCGAUAGUAUACCAGCCUAUAUAUAUAUAUAUAUAGAGUCCGGCUACUAUGCUAUUAAUAGCACGAAGUACUUGGUGCUACCAAGUUUUUUACCCUUAGAUCUACCCUUUUGAUCAUUUUCGCCCGUUAAAUCAUACUAUUCAACCAACCACCCACUCAACCCUAGGGGGCCCACAUCAUCCUAACCCUACAUCUCCUAAUUCAAUGGCCAAAAACUUGCUAGCACCAAUAACUUAGUGCUAUUAAUAGUAUAUUAGCCUAGUUCUAUAUAUAUAUAUAUAUAUAUAUAUAGUACUGAAGCUCCGGUACUAUAGUCUUGUUUUUGAUCUUAAAGUGUUUAAAUUAACGAUCUACACCAUUAAAUAUGAUCUAGAAUAUAUGAAGUUUUUAGGAAUAAAAUUUUAUACAUAUAGUUUCCUAUACUACCUACAGUACGCUCCGAUACUAUAGUCGCCGUUUUCCGAUUUUAGUUUUUUGUUUAAAAUACCCAUGAGUUUUAAAAAUUUGAUAGAAUUAAAAAAUUAGAAAAAUAUAUUCAUUUAUAUAUAUAAAUAGAAUUAUAAGAUUAUUAGUGGCAACUAGUUGAAUUUUAACUAAUAUAUUAGAUAUUUUUGAAUAAAAAUAUAACUGAUAAAUUGACUUUUAGAAAUUGAAAUUUUUAGAUAAAUAUGAUUCACAAAUUGUUAUGAAUUGACAUAUCUAUUAAAGUAGUUAUUGAUAGAUGUAUAUUUUUGCAGGAAAAAAUAUAAAUAUAUUGUAUUUUAUCUUCGGAAAAGAAAAAUAUUUAUGUUUAUCUAAAUUUCUACCAAUCAAAAAAUAUAUACUGUAAAAUAUUUUUCCUACACCCCUUAAAAGGAAAAUAUUCCUUAUUUAUUGGAAAAAAAUCUCUACAUCGUCAAUCCUAAUCUACUUCGUGUUUAUUAAAAUAUUUAUGUUUAUAAAAUCUAAACUUGAUUCCAAAUAACUCUUAAGCUAAUCGAAUUUAUAUAAUGUAGAGAGAGAGAGAGAGAAAAAAAAUCAUAAAAUAGAGAUUUAACUCUGAAUUAGGAUCUGAUUUUACUCCACUCAUCAUAAACACAAUGCUCAAUCUUACGAGUCAGAUUCGAACCCAGUUACAUAUUCUACGAUGUUAUGUGAUUGUGAUGCGAAUCCAACCCGUUAAUAACAUAUAUAGAGAUCUACGCUUUCACCGUAUCUUAUCACAUUCUUGUUUGUAUAUAUCCUAGUUCAAUUCUACAAUAUUUAUUUAUAUAUAAUAUAUAAUAAUAUAAGAUAAAGAGAGAUGGAUGCCGCAGCAAUAGCAUGCGAUGAAUUUCCGCCUUAAUUGAAAGGAGAUGGAGAAGAUGCGCCGCCCCUGCCCCUGCCCCUGCCCCGCAGGUGAUGUGGAUGCCGCGACCACUGCACCGCCGUCUCCGGGACCAUGGGCCGAACUUCCGGUCGGGAUAUUGGCCAAAAUUCUCUGGCGAAUCAAUCCCGACACCGAUUUGACCAACUUCACCUCCGUCUGCAAGGCGUGGCGCGCUGCCGCCGCGGACGACCUGCUGCCUCUCAAGCAUCAGAUGCCGCGGCUGCUCCUCACCGAGGAGGACUACCCCGGAUCGGCCGGGCACACCCGCAGCUUCUACAGCUUGUCGGAGGACAAGAUCCACGAGCUGCCCCUCCCGGAGGCCUGCCGCCGACGGUGCGUAGGAUCCGCGGACGGCUGGCUCGUGACACUCGGAGAGGCCCUCGAGGGCGAGGAGAUGCACAUUCUCAAUCCGAUAUCGAGAAUCCGGAUCCCUCUCCCUUCGCAGUCCACGCUUUUACUGCCGCCCGAAGAUUACACGUUUCCAGAAGAACUGAUAGCACAAAACCAGACAGCGGGAGGAAUGUUAGGACCGAACGGAUCAGACGGUGAAGAAGAUCUAUAUGAUAGUGGACAAGAAGACGAUUACGGAGACGACAAUUAUGAUGACGAUUACGAUGAAGACGACGAAGAUUAUGAUGAUGAUGAAGAUGAUGAUGAAGAAAAAGAGGAGGAGGAGGAGGAAGGAGAAACUGAUCAGCAGCGCGCGGUGCGGGAGAGGUAUCAGAGUUUUAUAACAAAGGUGGUCCUAUCCUGCAGCCCCGCGAAGAAGGACUCGGACUGCGUGGCGCUCGCCAUAUACGGAUGGUCGGAUAACAAGCUCGCCUACGCAAGGCCCGGCGACGCUGCGUGGACUAUCUUGAGCUGGGACUGGAAGCAGUUCGCGAACAAGUUGGGCCCGUUCGAGGACGCCGUGUACUACAAGGGGCAGUUCUACGUGAUCAAUCUCCACGGCACGGUCAUGAGAUGCAGCGUCCCUCCCGUCGGAAGCGCCGAAGAGCCCUCAGCGGAGGUGAUCGCCUUCGGGUUCCCUUACGACGAUCUGAUUUGGGGAGAUUCUACGUAUCUAGUCGAACACCAAGGCUCGCUCCUGCAGGUGUUACGAAAGCGGCGGGCUUCGAAGAAGACCAGACCCGAUAAGCCGCUGCCGCAGCACCUGACGUUCGGCUUCCACGUCUUCAGGCUCGACCCGUCCAGCAGCGCGUGGGAGAUGAUAGAGAGCUUAGGAGACGGCGCUCUGUUUCUAGGGAUGAACACCUCCGUCUCCGUCUCGGCUGCCGACCUUCGAUGGUGCAAGGGGGACUGCAUUUACUUUACCGACGGCGACGAGUUGAGCCGCUGGUACGCCAUCUCACUGGGAGGCCGGCUCCUGGGAGGCCGCGGAGCCGGCCGCGACACAGGC